CGAGUGGCGACGGGUGAGUAAUGCUUGGGAAUCUGCCCAAUAGCGGGGGAUAACUCGAGGAAACUCGAGCUAAUACCGCAUACGCCCUACGGGGGAAAGCGGGGGACUCUUCGGAGCCUCGCACUAUUGGAUGAGCCCAGGUCGGAUUAGCUUGUUGGUAGGGUAAUGGCCUACCAAGGCGACGAUCCGUAGCUGGUCUGAGAGGACGAUCAGCCACACCGGAACUGAGACACGGUCCGG
rnacentral:rRNA from 1 species